rnacentral:rRNA from 1 species
GACGAACGCUGGCGGCGUGCUUAACACAUGCAAGUCGAGCGGUAAGGCCCUUUCGGGGGUACACGAGCGGCGAACGGGUGAGUAACACGUGGGUGACCUGCCCUCAGCUCUGGGAUAAGCCCGGGAAACUGGGUCUAAUACUGGAUAUUACUCUGCGGUGCAUGCCGUGGGGUGGAAAGCCUUGUGCGACUGGGGGAUGGGCCCGCGGCCUAUCAGCUUGUUGGUGGGGUGAUGGCCACCAAGGCGACGACGGGUAGCCGGCCUGAGAGGGCGACCGGCCACACUGGGACUGAGACACGGCCCAGACUCCUACGGGAGGCAGCAGUGGGGAAUCUUGCGCAAUGGGCGAAAGCCUGACGCAGCGACGCCGCGUGAGGGAUGAC